GACGAACGCUGGCGGCGUGCCUAAUACAUGCAAGUAGAACGCUGAAGGAGGAGCUUGCUCUUCUGGAUGAGUUGCGAACGGGUGAGUAACGCGUAGGUAACCUGCCUGGUAGCGGGGGAUAACUAUUGGAAACGAUAGCUAAUACCGCAUAACAGUAGAUGUUGCAUGACAUUUACUUAAAAGGUGCAAUUGCAUCACUACCAGAUGGACCUGCGUUGUAUUAGCUAGUUGGUGGGGUAACGGCUCACCAAGGCGACGAUACAUAGCCGACCUCGGAGGGUGAUCGGCCACACUGGGACUGAGACACGGCCCAGGCGCCUACGGGAGGCAGCAGUAGGGAAUCUUCGGCAAUGGACGGAAGGCUGACCGAGCAACGCCGCGGGAGUGAAGAAGGUUUUCGGAUCGUAAAGCUCUGUUGUAAGAGAAGAACGAGUGUGAGAGUGGAAAGUUCACACUGUGACGGUAUCUUACCAGAAAGGGACGGCUAACUACGUG
rnacentral:rRNA from 1 species